AACGACCCCCAUCCCUGCGUCCUCCUUUUCUUCUCCAGUAGUCCAGCAACGCGAAGAAACCCAGAAAUUGAAGCCCAGCAAACCAGCGAUUCCAACAAUACCCCGACCCCACUGCCCAUACUGGUCUUCUUCUUCUUCACGCGAUAAAUUCAAAAAUCACGGAAUUAGCAACGACUCCAAACAACACCAAACCGACCCCACCCCCUGCACAUUUUCUUCUUCUUCCUUGCGUGUGAAAUCCAACAGUCCAUCAACGUCCGAAAAUCCCACCAAAUCGCGGAAAUCCAGCAACCUUAUCCAAAAGAGAACUUGAAUUUCGAAUUGAAAUUCUUCCAAUCCAUCCGUUUUCCCCCUAAAAAAUCAACCCUAUUCUUCAUCUAUUUAAGAUUGGUUUCUCUAUGCGUUUAAGGGGGGAAGAGACAUGGAAUAGAGGAAAAACAUAGUGAUAUAGGUUCAGAAAAAGAAUUUUGAUUUCUAUAGUGCUAAGUUAAAUUUUUUGAAUCUCGAGCUUUCGUCUUAAGCUGUUUGUUCUCUGUCAUCGGAAACUUUUGUUGGAGUUCUUUUCACGUGGUGGUGAAAUAGCUCGCCUCAACUCGUUCGCCCAGUCGCUGCUCCAAAAAAGAGGGAAGAAUGUUAUUACUACCGCAAAUUGGUGUUGAGUAAAGACAAGCAAUUCAACUUCCUUGUGCGAAUUGAUAUGAAUGACUCAAACCACAGACGGAGCAUAAUUGCUGAAGAAAUACAUCAAGCUGAAGAGCAAGCACCAAUUAUUGUUGAUGAUGAAGUCAAAUCAGUGAGGAUGUACAAAAAGAGGGCCAAGAAAACGACAGAGGGAGCGGCCCAAGUCAAACUGAAGAAACCAAAAACCGUUAAAAAAUAGACGUCUUUCUGAAUUAUGUAACUAAAAAAUGUGUGCAUUUACUGCUUAACCAAUGUUUGUAUCUUAUUAACUACUUAUGUGUGAAUGCGUAAUUGCUAGUUUUCUAUCUAAUUCAAAUGACAAUUCCAUUUA